UAAAAUAAUAAUCUUUUAUUUCACAGAAGUACAAACGUAUAAAGUAAGACAAAGAGCUUAUAUUGUCGUUCACCAAAGCAGAGAUACACUACAUCUAUAAUGGACGUGUUAAUGUCUAUAGCUCUGGUCCAGGGCGACUUUGAGAACAUUACCAAACCACAACCUGGACCAGAGCUAUCUUUCUCUAUAUAAAACCAACAGCGCUAGCCCCUCCCUCCCACGCUGCCCAGCUGUGCUUGACAUGGACUGAAAUAGGUGCCGGUACUGUUUAUAUUCAGGUGCAGGAGCUUCACAAUAAAUUUCAGCUAAUAUUCGAUAAGAGGGACAUUUGAGGUGCUGGUACUCAGCUCCAGUGAGCUCCUGCCCAAGUCAGGCACGGCUGGUCAGCCAACAGAGCUCCUGCCCAAGUCAGGCACGGCUGGUCAGCCAACAGAGCUCCUGCCCAAGUCAGGCACGGCUGGUCAGCAAACAGAGCUCCUGCCCAAGUCAGGCACGGCUGGUCAGCCAACAGUUAUGCACAUCAAGAAAUAAAGAAAAUAUGAUACACUGAUAAAUUGUCAACAGAAAAGAUACAGACAUACAUAUAUAGCCUGGUCCAAGACAUAUACACUACCGGUCAAAAGUUUUAGAGCACCUACUCAUUCAAGGGUUUUUCUUUUCAUUUUACUAUCUUCUACAUUGUAGAAUAAUAGUGAAGACAUCAAAACUGAAAUACCACUCCAAUGAACUUAUCCUCUGCAGCAGAGGUAACUCUGGGUCUUCCUUUCAUGUGGAGGUCCUCAUGAGAGCCAGUUUCAUCAAGUUCUUGAAAUGUUUCGUAUUGACUGACUUUCAUGUUUUAAAAUAAUGAUGGACUGUCAUUUCUCUUAUUUGAGCUGUUCCUGCCAUCAUAUAGACUUGGUCUUUUACCAGAUAGGGCUAUCUUCUGUAUACCUCCCCUACCUUGUCACAACACAACUGAUUGGCUCAAACGCAUUAAAAAGGAAAGAAAUUUCACAAAUUCACUUUUAACAGCGCACGCCUGUUAAUUGAAAUGCAUUCCAGGUGACUACCUCAUGAAGCUGGUUGAGAGAAUGCCAAGAGUGCAAAACUGUCAUCAAGGCAAAGGGUGGCUACUUUGAAGAAUCUCAAAUAUAUUUUCAUUUGUUUAACACUUUUCGUUACUACAUGAUUCCAUGUGUGUUAUUUCAUAGUUUUGAUGUCUUCACUAUUAUUUUACAAUGUAGAAAAUAGUCAAAAUAAAGAAAAAAGCUUGAAUGAGUAGGUGUGUCCAAAUGUUUGACUGGUACUUUAUGUACAUUUUUAUUUUAUACAUUUUAGAAUAAGGGUGUAACGUAACAAAAUUUGGAAAAAGUCGAGGGGUCUGAAUAUUUUCCGAAGGCACUGUAUAUAGCCUGGUCCCUGUGCUUUUGCCAACUCCAAUGUCAUUUUCAAGCUUAAAGACAAUUCCAUAAGAAGUUGUCAAGAGCCUGGCACACAGGCCAGGGUAUCUCAAGAGCCUGGCACACAGGCCAGGGUAUCUCAAGAGCCUGGCACACAGGCCAGGGUAUCUCAAGAGCCUGGCACACAGGCCAGGGUAUCUCAAGAGCCUGGCACACAGGCCGGGGUAUCUCAAGAGCCUGGCACACAGGCCAGGGUAUCUCAAGAGCCUGGCACACAGGCCAGGGUAUCUCAAGAGCCUGGCACACAGGCCGGGGUAUCUCAAGAGCCUGGCACACAGGCCAGGGUAUCUCAAGAGCCUGGCACACAGGCCAGGGUAUAUCAAGAGCCUGGCACACAGGCCAGGGUAUCUCAAGAGGCUGGCACACAGGCCAGGGUAUAUCAAGAGCCAGACCAGAGUAUAUCAAGAGCCAGACCAGGGUAUGUAUAUUAUUAUAUUGACCUGACAUGGAGUUUGGUGGAACAUUGAUACUAGAAAGACAAUAGAACGAUGCAGAAUUCAAUUGCAUUUUCUUUACCAUUCAAUUCUUACUUUGUAAUUCUGCAUUGUUGGUAAAGGGCUCGUCAGUAAGCAUUUCACAGUAAAGUCUACAUCUGUUCUAUAUGGCACAUGUGACAAAUACAAUUUGAUUUGAUACCAUUUUUCACAAUUAUAUCCCAUUUUCCCAAUAAAUGUUUUGUCUUUACCAAUAAUAAAAGGGCCUCAAACAAACAAGCAUGUUGUGUUGUGACAGUGUACUGUGAUAGGAUGUCCUAUUCUCACGAGUAAGACAAUUGCUAUUCCAUAUAACCCAGUGCUUGACAUGGAUUGAAGUAGGUGUCGGUACUCAUGUUGGUUUCCAGUACUGCUUAUAUUUAGCUGCAGGAGCUCCACAAUACUUUUGAGAUAAUAUAGGAACAAGAGCUCAAGCAGUUGAACAUUUAAGGUGCCUGCACUUGGCUCCUGUGAGGUCCUGCAUGUACCUUAGAGCAAGGGGGAGGGGGGGGGCAAAGUAUGGCCCGUGAGCAGAUCAAGAGACAUAAUUAUUUUUUAUUUUUUUACCCCUUUUUUCUCCCCAAUUUCAUGAUAUCUGAAUUGGUAGUAACAGUCUUGUCCCAUCGCUGCAACUCCCCUAAGGACUCGGGAGAGGCGAAGGUCGAAACACGACCCUGCCAAGCAGCACUGUUUCUUGACACAAUGCCCGCUUAUCCCCGGAAACCAGCUGCUUUAAUGUGUCGGAGGAAACACCGUACACCUGGCGACCGUGUCUGCGUGCAUGCGCCUGGUCUGCCACAGGAGGCACUAGAGCGAUGGGACAAGGAAAUCUUGGCCUGCCAAACCCUCUCCUAACCCAAACAACAAUGGGCCAAUUAUGUGCUGCCUCACGGGUCUUUCAGUCACGGCCAGCUAUGACACAGCCUGGGAUCGAACCCGGGUCUGUAAUGACACUUCUAGCUCUGCGAUGCAGUAGCUUAGACCACUGCGCCACACGGGAGGCUUCUUUGAUUGAUUAUAACAAACAAUUAGUCCCACAAAAAAUGCAUCCCUCCGUUGAAUUUCAAAAUCCCGAUGUCGCCAUCGGGCCAAAACUGAAAAUCAAGGCUAAGGUCUCCUUCCUUUUCGAGAUGAGGCAGAGAUGAUACCAGCUCCAGAAGAAUCUGUCAGCCUGUUUCUGGUAAGACGUUAAGAGCAUUGUGAUGAAACAGACUGGAAGCUUCUCUUCAAACAAACAAUCGACUUCUUACCUUUAUAGAUAAUGACAUUAUCCAACCAGACUGAAUACCACCCCACCACAAGACCAUGUGGACAACACCAGUAGACCACCCCACCACAAGACCAUGUGGACAACACCAGUAGACUACCCCACCACAAGACCAUCUGAACAACACCAGUAGACCACCCCACCACAAGACCAUGUGGACAACACCAGUAGACUACCCCACCACAAGACCAUGUGGACAACACCAGUAGACCACCCCACCAUAAGACCAUGUGGACAACACCAGUAGACUACCCCACCACAAGACCAUGUGGACAACACCAGUAGACUACCCCACCACAAGACCAUCUGAACAACACCAGUAGACCACCCCACCACAAGACCAUGUGGACAACACCAGUAGACCACCCCACCACAAGACCAUGUGGACAACACCAGUAGACUACCCCACCACAAGACCAUGUGGACAACACCAGUAGACUACCC
ensembl:lncRNA